UAGGGAAUCUUCCGCAAUGGACGAAAGUCUGACGGAGCAAUGCCGCGUGAGUGAGGAAGGCCUUCGGGUCGUAAAGCUCUGUUGUGAGGGAAGAACAAGUAUCGGUUGAAUAAGCCGGUACCUUGACGGUACCUCACCAGAAAGCCACGGCUAACUACGUGCCAGCAGCCGCGGUAAUACGUAGGUGGCAAGCGUUGUCCGGAAUUAUUGGGCGUAAAGCGCGCGCAGGCGGCUUCUUAAGUCUGAUGUGAAAUCUCGGGGCUCAACCCCGAGCGGCCAUUGGAAACUGGGGAGCUUGAGUACAGAAGAGGAGAGUGGAAUUCCACGUGUAGCGGUGAAAUGCGUAGAUAUGUGGAGGAACACCAGUGGCGAAGGCGACUCUCUGGUCUGUAACUGACGCUGAGGCGCGAAAGCGUGGGGAGCAAACAGG
rnacentral:rRNA from 1 species